CGUCUGAUCCAAGUCGAGUCAGAUAAAGCUAGGCCUUUAGUUAUCGGCCGGUCGUAGUCAUCAAUUCAAAAAAGAGAUUUAUUAUCGAAAAGCCCAUCGGCCGAUUGUUCAAGUCAUUCUAGUCAGUUUCCAACUCGAACUCAACUUGGGAAGAUAAUACCUAAUCGAUAAAGUAAGCUGAUAAACGAUAGAGAUGAGGUGGGAUCUAGUAUUUCAGUCGAAUUGAAGUUCGUUAGCGGAUGAGGAGAGUUCAAUCCAAGAUAGUCUACUUCAAGAUUAAUCACAGCCGUUGAUGACGACCAUCACAGCCGAUCAAGAUAGAGUCCAGCGUCAAGUCAGCCGACG
rnacentral:lncRNA from 1 species